rnacentral:rRNA from 1 species
UUGAAGAGUUUGAUCAUGGCUCAGAUUGAACGCUGGCGGCAGGCCUAACACAUGCAAGUCGAACGGUAACAGGAAUCAGCUUGCUGAUUCGCUGACGAGUGGCGGACGGGUGAGUAAUGUCUGGGAAACUGCCUGAUGGAGGGGGAUAACUACUGGAAACGGUAGCUAAUACCGCAUAACGUCGCAAGACCAAAGAGGGGGACCUUCGGGCCUCUUGCCAUCGGAUGUGCCCAGAUGGGAUUAGCUGGUAGGUGGGGUAACGGCUCACCUAGGCGACGAUCCCUAGCUGGUCUGAGAGGAUGACCAGCCACACUGGAACUGAGACACGGUCCAGACUCCUACGGGAGGCAGCAGUGGGGAAUAUUGCACAAUGGGCGCAAGCCUGAUGCAGCCAUGCCGCGUGUAUGAAGAAGGCCUUCGGGUUGUAAAGUACUUUCAGCGGGGAGGAAGGGAGUAAAGUUAAUACCUUUGCUCAUUGACGUUACCCGCAGAAGAAGCACCGGCUAACUCCGUGCCAGCAGCCGCGGUAAUACGGAGGGUGCAAGCGUUAAUCGGAAUUACUGGGCGUAAAGCGCACGCAGGCGGUUUGUUAAGUCAGAUGUGAAAUCCCCGGGCUCAACCUGGGAACUGCAUCUGAUACUGGCAAGCUUGAGUCUCGUAGAGGGGGGUAGAAUUCCAGGUGUAGCGGUGAAAUGCGUAGAGAUCUGGAGGAAUACCGGUGGCGAAGGCGGCCCCCUGGACGAAGACUGACGCUCAGGUGCGAAAGCGUGGGGAGCAAACAGGAUUAGAUACCCUGGUAGUCCACGCCGUAAACGAUGUCGACUUGGAGGUUGUGCCCUUGAGGCGUGGCUUCCGGAGCUAACGCGUUAAGUCGACCGCCUGGGGAGUACGGCCGCAAGGUUAAAACUCAAAUGAAUUGACGGGGGCCCGCACAAGCGGUGGAGCAUGUGGUUUAAUUCGAUGCAACGCGAAGAACCUUACCUGGUCUUGACAUCCACGGAAGUUUUCAGAGAUGAGAAUGUGCCUUCGGGAACCGUGAGACAGGUGCUGCAUGGCUGUCGUCAGCUCGUGUUGUGAAAUGUUGGGUUAAGUCCCGCAACGAGCGCAACCCUUAUCCUUUGUUGCCAGCGGUCCGGCCGGGAACUCAAAGGAGACUGCCAGUGAUAAACUGGAGGAAGGUGGGGAUGACGUCAAGUCAUCAUGGCCCUUACGACCAGGGCUACACACGUGCUACAAUGGCGCAUACAAAGAGAAGCGACCUCGCGAGAGCAAGCGGACCUCAUAAAGUGCGUCGUAGUCCGGAUUGGAGUCUGCAACUCGACUCCAUGAAGUCGGAAUCGCUAGUAAUCGUGGAUCAGAAUGCCACGGUGAAUACGUUCCCGGGCCUUGUACACACCGCCCGUCACACCAUGGGAGUGGGUUGCAAAAGAAGUAGGUAGCUUAACCUUCGGGAGGGCGCUUACCACUUUGUGAUUCAUGACUGGGGUGAAGUCGUAACAAGGUAACCGUAGGGGAACCUGCGGUUGGAUCACCUCCUU